UACGGAGGAUGCAAGCGUUAUCCGGAAUGAUUGGGCGUAAAGCGUCCGCAGGUGGCAAUGUAAGUCUGCUGUCAAAGCGUCUGGCUCAACCAGAUAAAGGCAGUGGAAACUACAUAGCUAGAGUAAGGUAGGGGUAGAGGGAAUUCCUGGUGUAGCGGUGAAAUGCGCAGAUAUCAGGAAGAACACCUAUGGCGAAGGCAGCUCUCUGGGACGGUACUGACGCUGAGACGCGAAAGCGUGGGGAGCGAACAGG
rnacentral:rRNA from 1 species